rnacentral:lncRNA from 1 species
GGUGACUUGUCGGAUGAUUGAUGUGAUAUAAACUAACACACAAAUUAAACCCUCUUUUUGACAAUUGUAGUAUGGAUAAAUAUGGAUCAUUCUAGGCUAGGGAUUAGGACGGACUACUAAUGAACUAAAAUUAGACUCAAUUACACUUAACUAGACUUGAAAACACUAAAUUAGACUCUUAUGACUUAAAACUGACUCAAACUACUCAAAAUAGCACAAGACAAGCAAAUUGACUCAAAACUAACACUAAGAAUGACUUUGGACAAAAAUCAAACUAGAAAGACUCAAAACAACAAAAAGGAACCCAAUUGGACAUAUUCUAACCUAAAGACAUGAAAUAUAAAAGGGGGUUGGCUUUUGGACGCAUUUAAACUUAAACUACGCAGGUUUAAAGACUCUAAAUACUUUGGACGAAAUUUGUGAUUUUAAGGGUGAAUGGCUACUUAGAGGGUCCUUCUCCACACAUGACACACAUGCAUACAAAUCAAUCUCCAGUUAUUCCUUCGAUAAACCAUGAAUGACAAUGCCCCAAAUUAAUCGUGCGAAGCACAAAUUAACUUUUAGAUUUUCCUAAUUUUUGUUGAAUUGGACAUUGCAUCGCAACCAAAUUAUUCUUAUCAAGUUCCCUACAUGAACUUCAUAAUAGAUAAGUUCUAUAAAUUCACAAGCAUUGACAAGGCAUUCGUAACUAUGAAUUGCAUGAUACUCCUGCCAGGAAUCUACUUAACACGAUCGUGACUAGCAACCUCCACUACUUUUGAAUAUAAGUUCAUAAUUAUUAGGUGAAAUUCCCUUAUAUCCUAGCAUCAAAUUCAUGCAUGCAAACUAAGUAUGCAUCCUCAAUCAACACACAAGAAUAAGUUAUGAAUCAAACAGAUAAGUAAAUUGCAUUCACGAUUCAUGAAAUCAUAACUGGAAGUAAUCAAUUCAUAUCACAUAUAUGCUCAUGGCUUUGAAUUCUCCUCUAACUAAAACUAAAUUAGUUCCUCAUGUUCACAAUUAAACAAAGACAAUUAAAUUUAAACAUUGAAAACAAAGAUAGAAUACACCUAGAAACGCUCCAACACUCCAAUGUGGAGCCAAAAAUAAUCACAAGGCGACACGUGGAUUUUUGGGUGAAAAGGACAAAAAUACCCUUGAGGUGUACCAAGUUU